CCUACGGGGGGCAGCAGUGGGGAAUAUUGCGCAAUGGGCGAAAGCCUGACGCAGCGACGCCGCGUGAGGGAUGAAGGUCUUCGGAUCGUAAACCUCUGUCAGCAGGGAAGAACGGUCACUGUGCUAAUCAGCAGUGAAUUGACGGUACCUGCAAAGGAAGCACCGGCUAACUCCGUGCCAGCAGCCGCGGUAAUACGGAGGGUGCGAGCGUUAAUCGGAAUUACUGGGCGUAAAGCGCACGUAGGCGGUAUGUCAAGUCAAGGGUGAAAUCCCCGCGCUCAACGUGGGAACUGCCUUUGAAACUGGCAAACUGGAGUGUGUGAGAGGGUAGUGGAAUUCCAGGUGUAGGAGUGAAAUGCGUAGAUAUCUGGAGGAACAUCAGUGGCGAAGGCGACUAUCUGGCACAUGACUGACGCUGAGGAGCGAAAGCGUGGGUAGCAAACAGGAUUAGAUACCCUUGUAGUC
rnacentral:rRNA from 1 species